CAACAGGGAUGCUACUGGCUGACGAGCUGCACAUAUACGAGAGUAAAGUGUACAACACUUAUCCAGUACAUAGGUACCCAGCUUUCUCACAUCCUGGAAGGCACUGCCAAAGGUCUGAUCAGGAUGUAUCACUCUGGAAGAGGUGAUGUUGAAGAGGAGUUGAAAGACCUAUCAACACAUGUAGAUGAGCAGACACCAGACAUGGCCAUGCAUCGAAGGUCAGCGGCACUCAGAGAUCUUCAGUUUUAUAUUCGGGAAUACGUACCAAUUGUUAAGAACUUUAAGGUAUAUCAACUUGGUUAGUGAAACAAAACACUGAUGCAUUGACCUUUUUAUAUAUCUUUAAUUGUUUUUGACAUUUCUGUUUUUCAAAUAUUGGUUUCAUUGAGACUUCAGUAGAUCUGUGUGAAUUCCUGGGUUCAGAGGUGGACGUGCAUGUAGUGCUGGAGGAAGUUGUUGUCAUGGACAGCCUUCCAAACUUUCCGACUGCCUUUGGAAUAUAUUGAGUUAUCCUAAACAGUGGAAGAAACUUUGAGGCUCAGUCUUUGAGUCUUGACAGUAAAAAAAAUGUAAUCUUGAAUUCAGUCACUAAGAACCAGACUUUUGUUGGCAUGGACAGACAAAAGAACAAAAUCACCACUUCCGGAUAAAUUGUAGUCACUGUGACACUUUUAGAAAUAAAUUACUUGUGGUUUAGUGCACACAGACAAAACACUGUAAUGAAAUUUGUCUUGUGUCUGGGAGCACUGUGUGUGUGCCUUCCUCAAUCCUUAUGUUUUUAUCAUGCGGAUCUAUAAGAUAUUUUUCAAAAGUGUCAAUAAACCUGAAUUUUGGCACUGUUUAACUUUGUAUUCGGAUUUAUUUGCUCUUCAAACUCUAUGCAGCCUUUGGAUUUUAAAGACACCAUUAUUUCAGGAUGACCAGAGCAACAUUUCAGAUGCAAUGAUUAGUCUGCUGGUUUGUCCUGUUUAGUGCUGCACGAUUAAUCAUAUUGCAAUCGCGAUGUCAGCCUGUGCAAUUAUAUGACGGCAAAUGCUGCGAUUUCAUUAAAUAAAUAAGUGCAUG